UUCUUAUGCUCGCGCGUCACGCGCGACGUCUUUCGUCGGUCUUAUCCAUGCUUUUAGAACGCUCCCCUCUGCUCCUCUCCCUCUGUAUUUUUAGGUUUCUGCCGCUCUACCCGUCUCUGUCUAACCUCGGCGGGCCAACUCAGCGGCAGGUGUCACGGUACCGCGCGCGCGGAGGUUUAUCCCAUGGUGGACAUGCACCAGCGGCUGGACAUGAUUGACACAGUCCACCAUUCCGCCCGGUACGUACCGGACGACGCGCGGAGAAACCAAAGAGCCGCCAUGGUCCAGUCCCCUGCAUAAUACAGGAUUUCGUAUCAAUUCCCGCAGCGUGAGCAUGCUUCUCACGCUGGGGUGGCUACACCGAUCGGGGGAUGUGGGACUUGGAACGAUACACGAGUGGCUCAAGAUAUUGAUGCGCAGAUAUAUGCGUGUGCAAGUGCUAUAACACGGCACCCUAAUCGGGCUUAAUAACAUCUGUAGUUACAAAACUGGCCAAUCACAACUAUUCCUCAGAAGAAUGGAAUGACUGUGGUUUGGCCAGCCCUUAACUACGGAUGUUAUUAAAUCCGAUUAAGCGCUCCGUGCAAAACAGCACUCUGUGACUACGUUUACACGCGACCCUUAAUCGUGUUUAACAACAUCUGUAGUCAUAAAAUUGGCCAAUCACAACUAAUCCUUAGAAGAAUGGAGUGACUGUGAUUGGUCAGCCCCUUAACUACAGUUGUUAUCAAAUCCGAUUAGAGUGCCGUGUAAACAUAGUCUGUGAUACUUAAACCAGAGACCAUCGAGUAACGGGACGUAGACGGGCGACGAAAGAGAAUAGACAGAAGCCUAUAUUCUUUUACCGAUAAAAGCGCUCAUAAAAGAUACCUUCAGCUAAUAAGAAUCCUUUCUGACUAAUUUUAGUAGCUAAACUUUUUAACGAUAGAAGAUUGAUAAUGUAGACCAAAAGGAGACGAUGCAGUGUCGUCUUGAGCGGAUUCUUAUUACAGAUCUCGUGUGCCUCUUGGCACGAGCGAGUUUCACCUGUUUGCUUGUCGAAUGUAUCGCACACAAAGUGCGGACAGACGUGAAAGCUCUAUGCUAAACUUUGUGUUCUAGGCAACUAAAUGAGAAGCGCUAAUACUCCUAUUUGUCUUUUGGGCACUGCGACAAUGACAAAUCUGCGUAUAGAGGAAAGUCCUUUAUUAUGAGAUAGGAUUCUAAUAUGAGAUAGGUUUUCAACGUCCUACUUCCAUCGCAAACCUUUUCUCGCAACGAUUACAUGAUCCAACAAUCAGAUUUCACCCCAAGUGCAAUAAAUUCAUGGUGGAAACCAACGGAUGAUGCUUAUUAAUUUAGCAAAAACUCCGCUGUCUCAUAUCAGGAGCCUAUGAUAGGGGAUUUUCCUCUAUUAAACAGUUUAAUGCAGCUAUCUUUGUAGAUUCUCAAUAUCAAUUAUCAGUGGAGUAUAUUUGAAGUCACCAGUGAUGAAUAAAUAAGAACAGAACUUUUUUUUAUCCAACUGGCAAUAUAUUGCCAAUUGGAUCGACAAAAAAUUCUGUUCUUAAUAUCAAUUAUGUAUAGACGUGAUAUUAUUUAGAAAUGUGAAAAAAAUUUAAAUUGGGCACGCAAUUUAUUUGCGACUCUUGCAACCCGCAGAAAUUUGAUGUCUUGCUCCUUUAUGUAUACAUGUACUCUACUUUUUUGUUAUAUUUUAGCUAGUAAAUUUGUUAUGGUAUUAAUCCUUUGGAUUUAUCUCCAUAACACGAAUAAUGAUGAAAAUUUUAUUAAAUUUCAGUAAUCUUCUCAUUGAACUAAAUUGUUAGAAGACGAAAAGUCUGCUAAGUUCGUUAAAUCAACAUUGUAAAUAUCCUAAUAAAAUAAAUUAUUUUAUAUGUAAAAACAUACUUGUAUUUUCUCUUUAUGUUACAAAUGGCUAUUUUUUAAAUCUAAUUUUGUGAAAGCUUCGACUGAUAUGAAUAUUAAUUGAGCUUGAGAAAUUAUUUUCUGCUAUUUUUGUAUCUGUGUUCUCUCCUUUAAUUUAAAAAAAAUCGAGAAAACUUUUUGUUUUAUGUUGCCAUCAAUUGGUUUGGUCAAAAAUCCUUCAUAAAGUUUAGUCUACAGAGAUAGUACUGCAAGUUUAGUCUACAGAGAUAGUACUGCAAGCAAAUCAACAGAGAUUGGUAUAGCAGAUGGUUUUUUUCCCGCAAUUCAUAACCGAUGAUCCCUCUUCUCAGUAUCACAUCACGCCGCAUAUAUCUAUCGAAUCACGUACAAUAUUUCAAAAUUGCUGUCAAAAAUAUUGUGUAUAUUACGUUCGUAAUUUUACACGGAAAAAAAAGUCUGUAUAGUUAGUAUUCAGUUCUCUACACUCAAAAUUGAAUAUUUCAAUUGAAAAUAUUCUGUUGAGUUUAGUAUAUUAAUAUUCAAUCAUUUAUGGUAUACGCAAUAUUGUAAGACUCCAAACUUUAUGUAAUGAAUAAAGAAAUUAUAACC